CUGAGAAGCCCCAUCUCCUUCUCACUAGAGCCUCCAGCAGAGCAUGGCUGUCCUGGUGCUGCUCCUCUGCCUGGUGACCUUUCCAAGCUGUGCCCUGUCCCAGGUGCAGAUGAAGGAGUCAGGACCUGGCCUGGUGCAGCCCUCACAGACCCUGUCCCUCACCUGCACUGUCUCUGGGUUCUCAUUAACUGGCUAUAGUGUACACUGGGUCCGCCAGCCUCCAGGAAAGGGUCUGCAGUGGAUGGGAGUAAUGUGGAGUGGUGGAAGUACAGAUUAUAAUUCAGCUCUCAAAUCCCGAGUCACCAUCAGCAGGGACACCUCCAAGAGCCAAGUUUUCCUAAAACUGAACAAUCUACAAACUGAGGACACAGCCACUUAUUACUGUGCCAGAGACACAGUGAGGGAACUCCAGUGUGAGCCUGCACAAAAACCUCCCUAUAGAGAUACUGAUGACCUGCAGGGGGUGCAGGGCCCACAAGAUCUCUCACAACCAGUAUGGGGUUUCUUCAGAAGAUAG